rnacentral:lncRNA from 1 species
AUAUAGAGCUAGGCUCCUAUGCUUUCGAAAGUACAGGAGCCUCCGUACUUGUAAGUUGUUUUCAAUAAUGGGACAUCCGAUUCGGCGAUCGAUUCCGUUAGACAUGAUCUACGCUGUUGGAACUAUUUAGAAACCAAAUUUCAUAAAUUUUUGACUUCGUUUGUCUAGUAAAUGAGUAGCCUGAAAAUGAACGGCUGAAAAUAAAAAUCUCAUAAAAAACAGUGAUAAAGGACUCAAAUUUCAAAUCGAAAGUAUUGAUCUUGCUAUUGAUGGUAAGUAAAAUUUUCUAUUAAAUUUUCAUCUAAUUUGAAUACUUCUACACCGUUGAACUUAAAAAUGUGUCACAUCGGCCAUUAAAAUAGUCAUUUUUGAAACCUUUUGAUCGCUUGGUAAAUGAUGUCAAAAAUUUUUUUAAAUAGUUCCAAUAGGAUAGAUUAUAUUUAACGGAGCCGAUCGUCGAAUCGGAUUUUCUAUCAUCGAAAACAACUUACAAGCACGGAGGUCUCCGUACUUUCGAAAGUACAGGGACUUAGUCUCUCUCUCUCUCUCUCUCUCUCUCUAUAUAUAUAUAUAUAUAAUAUUUUAAUUAUAUGUAAGCUAGGGAAGGAAUUUAAAUUUAGUUAAUAAUAUUUUAAUUAUAUGUAAGCUGAGUAAGGAAUUUAAAUUUAGUUAAAAUUGGGCAAAUAUUACUUGUCCAUAAUAACAAACUCCAUAGACAAACAAAAAUAUUAAAUUUUACUUAAUUUGCACUCUCUUCCUCUCUUUCUUUCACAUAGCUCUAAAUUUCUAAUCUCUUUCUUUUUUUUUCUGUCUCUCACCCCAAGCAGCAAAGACUGAAAUCUCUCAAGUUAGCAAGUAAUAGCACCUGCCCGCCGUUGCUUACCUUGCCAUUUGUAUAUUUAAAAAAAUAUACUCAAUACUUUUAAGAUAAAAAAAUUUAUUAUUUAUACAAAAUUUUGAUUUUCGUUAUAUAUGAUUGGAUAGUUUAAUCCAAUAUUUGUCUAUAUAAUUUAUUUAUUUUUUGACGGCAUAAAUGAAAAGGACUAAUAUGUUGAUUGAAGAUAGAAGAGAAGACAUACGAAACUGAAAAGAUUAGAUAUUUAACUCAUAAGUUAUUUUUCUUCAUAUUAUAAUACCAUAUUUUAUAUAAUUAUUUUAUAUUUUUAACUAUUAGACAUAUUUUUAUAUCAAAUUGUAGAUAAUAUUCGAUACAGAUUAAACUAUUGAUCGUACGAUAUUGAGAAUUUCAAGCUGCUCAUUUAUAACUCGAUCUCGCUCGACUUGAAAUCAAGCUCGCUCGAGCUUGACUUGAAUUAAUUUUCAGCCAAAUUUAAAUUUAAAAUUUAAAUUUAAAAUUAAGUUU